rnacentral:rRNA from 1 species
ACGAACGCUGGCGGCAUGCCUCACACCUUCCAGUCGCACGAGACCUUCGGGUCUAGUGGCGCACGGGUGCGUAACGCGUGGGAACCUGCCCUUAGGUUCGGAAUAACUCCCCGAAAGGGGUGCUAAUACCGGAUAAUGUCUUCGGACCAAAGAUUUAUCGCCUUUGGAUGGGCCCGCGUUGGAUUAGCUAGUUGGUAGGGUAAAAGCCUACCAAGGCGACGAUCCAUAGCUGGUCUGAGAGGAUGAUCAGCCACACUGGGACUGAGACACGGCCCAGACUCCUACGGGAGGCAGCAGUGGGGAAUAUUGGACAAUGGGCGAAAGCCUGAUCCAGCAAUGCCGCGUGAGUGAUGAAGGCCUUAGGGUUGUAAAGCUCUUUUACCCGGGAUGAUAAUGACAGUACCGGGAGAAUAAGCUCCGGCUAACUCCGUG